AGUGAACGCUGGCGGUAGGCCUAACACAUGCAAGUCGAACGGCAGCACAGUAAGAGCUUGCUCUUACGGGUGGCGAGUGGCGGACGGGUGAGGAAUACAUCGGAAUCUACUUUUUCGUGGGGGAUAACGUAGGGAAACUUACGCUAAUACCGCAUACGGCCUACGGGUGAAAGCAGGGGAUCUUCGGACCUUGCGCGAUUGAAUGAGCCGAUGUCGGAUUAGCUGGUUGGCGGGGUAAAGGCCCACCAAGGCGACGAUCCGUAGCUGGUCUGAGAGGAUGAUCAGCCACACUGGAACUGAGACACGGUCCAGACUCCUACGGGAGGCAGCAGUGGGGUAUAUUGGACAAUGGGCGCAAGCCUGAUCCAGCCAUACCGCGUGGGUGAAGAAGGCCUUCGGGUUGUAAAGCCCUUUUGUUGGGAAAGAAAAGCAGCAGGUUAAUACCCCGCUGUUCUGACGGUACCCAAAGAAUAAGCACCGGCUAACUUCGUG
rnacentral:rRNA from 1 species